rnacentral:rRNA from 1 species
CCUACGGGAGGCAGCAGUGGGGAAUAUUGGACAAUGGGGGCAACCCUGAUCCAGCCAUGCCGCGUGUGUGAAGAAGGCCCUCGGGUUGUAAAGCACUUUCAGUGAGGAAGAACGCCUGGUGGUUAAUACCCAUCAGGAAAGACAUCACUCACAGCAGAAGCACCGGCUAACUCCGUGCCAGCAGCCGCGGUAAUACGGAGGGUGCGAGCGUUAAUCGGAAUUACUGGGCGUAAAGCGCGCGUAGGUGGCUUGAUAAGCCGGUUGUGAAAGCCCCGGGCUCAACCUGGGAACGGCAUCCGGAACUGUCAAGCUAGAGUGCAGGAGAGGAAGGUAGAAUUCCCGGUGUAGCGGUGAAAUGCGUAGAGAUCGGGAGGAAUACCAGUGGCGAAGGCGGCCUUCUGGACUGACACUGACACUGAGGUGCGAAAGCGUGGGUAGCAAACAGGAUUAGAUACCCGGGUAGUC